CUAAAAUUAAAUGUAGAAAUGCAAUUAUAGAAAUAUAUAUUAUAGAAAUUUAACUAUUAUUAAAUCUCUCUCUUAUUGUUUGUAAGUAAAAGUUACUUUUGUUUAAAUAAGAAAGAAAUUUACUCACUUUAUUAAAAUCAGAACUAAAAUAUAAAUGACAUUAUAUGAUAGAUAAACAAUAACAUCAAGAGACACGGUAGUGGCUCGCGCCAAGUGAAAGCGCAGCGCGAGCCCGACCGUGCUCUUUACGCGAGUACGCGACUUGCGAGCACUCGAGAUUAUUGAAUCUCAGAAACGGUUAAAUCGAUCGAGUUUCUAAGUAAGCUCAAUCGAAAGCUUGGGGUCGAUUUAUAUUAGAAAACUAUUUUUAUUUUUUCUCUACAUGUCCUAUGAAUGGAAAUAUCGCGACGCAAAGUCCGAAAAGCCAAAAUUUUAUUUAAGAUACGUCGUCGUCAUCGUCAACCUUGUUGGUAUCUCUGCGGGUAGUGCGGGUGCCGAAAAUGAGGGACGAAAAUCCAUUUCGCUUAUCUACUACCGUGUGGCGUUCGCAUCGUCACUAUAGCACCGUAUAUGGCAAUGUAUAAGUCACGUGGUCACCAGUGGCUCGCUCGCGCCGUGAAUUAGUUGUGUGAAGAUGAUAGGUUAUAUAUGAGGUCACAUAAGUUGCUUCGGCCACAGGUCAGCUCCUGUCAAGUGACAUGUGUAGUGGAGGUUAAAUUAUUUAUUUAAUGAUUUUAAUCAUUGACACCAA